rnacentral:rRNA from 1 species
GAAAGAUUCAUCGGAAGAGGAUGGGCAUGCGGCGCAUUAGCUGGACGGCGGGGUAACGGCCCACCGUGGCGACGAUGCGUAGGGGUUCUGAGAGGAAGGUCCCCCACACUGGUACUGAGACACGGACCAGACUCCUACGGGAGGCAGCAGUGAGGAAUAUUGGUCAAUGGGAGAGAUCCUGAACCAGCCAAGCCGCGUGAGGGAAGACGGCCCUAUGGGUUGUAAACCUCUUUUGUCGGAGGACAAAACCCGGGACGAGUCCCGGACUGCGUGUAUCCGAAGAAAAAGCAUCGGCUAACUCCGUGCCAGCAGCCGCGGUAAUACGGAGGAUGCGAGCGUUAUCCGGAUUUAUUGGGUUUAAAGGGUGCGUAGGCGGUCUGUUAAGUCAGCGGUAAAAUUGCGGGGCUCAACCCCGUCGAGCCGUUGAAACUGGCAGACUUGAGUUGGCGAGAAGUACGCGGAAUGCGCGGUGUAGCGGUGAAAUGCAUAGAUAUCGCGCAGAACUCCGAUUGCGAAGGCAGCGUACCGGCGCCAGACUGACGCUGAGGCACGAAAGCGUGGGGAUCGAACAGGAUUAGAUACCCUGGUAGUCCACGCAGUAAACGAUGAAUGCUGGUUGUCCGGGUCGAAUGAGACCUGG